UACGAAGGGGGCUAGCGUUGUUCGGAGUUACUGGGCGUAAAGCGCACGUAGGCGGACAUUUAAGUCAGGGGUGAAAUCCCAGAGCUCAACUCUGGAACUGCCUUUGAUACUGGGUGUCUUGAGUAUGGAAGAGGUGAGUGGAAUUCCGAGUGUAGAGGUGAAAUUCGUAGAUAUUCGGAGGAACACCAGUGGCGAAGGCGGCUCACUGGUCCAUUACUGACGCUGAGGUGCGAAAGCGUGGGGAGCAAACAGG
rnacentral:rRNA from 1 species